rnacentral:rRNA from 1 species
CAAAAGCGUAUAUUAAAGUUGUUGCAGUUAAAAAGCUCGUAGUUGAACCUUGGGCUUGGCUGGCCGGUCCAUCUUUUUUGAUGCGUACUGGACCCAGCCGAGCCUUUCCUUCUGGCUAGCCUUUUGGCGAACCAGGACUUUUACUUUGAAAAAAUUAGAGUGUUCAAAGCAGGCCUUUGCUCGAAUAUAUUAACAUGGAAUAAUAGAAUAGGACGUUAUGGUUCUAUUCUGUUGGUUUCUAGGACCAUCGUAAUGAUUAAUAGGGACGGUCGGGGGUAUCAGUAUUCAGUUGUCAGAGGUGAAAUUCUUGGAUUUACUGAAGACUAACUACUGCGAAAGCAUUUACCAAGGACGUUUUCAUUAA